rnacentral:rRNA from 1 species
GGAAGAUGUAACGGGGCUAAGCUAUACACCGAAGCUGCGGCUACGUACCUUAGGGUAUGUGGGGUAGGGGAGCGUUCUGUAAGCCGUUGAAGGUGUGCUGUAAGGCAUGCUGGAGGUAUCAGAAGUGCGAAUGCUGACAUGAGUAACGAUAAAGGGAGUGAAAAACUCCCUCGCCGGAAGACCAAGGGUUCCUGUCCAACGUUAAUCGGGGCAGGGUAAGUCGACUCCUAAGGCGAGGCCGAAAGGCGUAGUCGAUGGGAAACAGGUUAAUAUUCCUGUACUUCUUACAAUUGCGAUGGGGGGACGGAGAAGGCUAGGUGGGCCUGGCGACGGUUGUCCAGGUUCAAGUACGUAGGCGGGUGGUUUAGGUAAAUCCGGACCGCUACUAACGCUGAGAUACGAUGUCGAGCUACUACGGUAGUGAAGUCAUUGAUGCCAUGCUUCCAGGAAAAGCCUCUAAGCUUCAGAUUGUAAGGAAUCGUACCCCAAACCGACACAGGUGGUCGGGUAGAGAAUACCAAGGCGCUUGAGAGAACUCGGGUGAAGGAACUAGGCAAAAUGGUACCGUAACUUCGGGAGAAGGUACGCUCUUAUCAGUGAAGUCCCUUGCGGAUGGAGCAGACGAGAGUCGCAGAUACCAGGUGGCUGCAACUGUUUAUUAAAAACACAGCACUGUGCAAAAUCGUAAGAUGACGUAUACGGUGUGACGCCUGCCCGGUGCCGGAAGGUUAAUUGAUGGGGUUAGACUUCGGUCGAAGCUCUUGAUCGAAGCCCCGGUAAACGGCGGCCGUAACUAUAACGGUCCUAAGGUAGCGAAAUUCCUUGUCGGGUAAGUUCCGACCUGCACGAAUGGCGUAAUGAUGGCCACGCUGUCUCCACCCGAGACUCAGUGAAAUUGAAAUCGCUGUGAAGAUGCAGUGUACCCGCGGCUAGACGGAAAGACCCCGUGAACCUUUACUACAGCUUGGCACUGAACAUUGAACCUACAUGUGUAGGAUAGGUGGGAGACUUUGAAACCGCGUCGCUAGAUGUGGUGGAGUCGUCCUUGAAAUACCACCCUUGUAGUUUUGAUGUUCUAACGUUGGUCCCUGAAUCGGGAUUACGGACAGUGCCUGGUGGGUAGUUUGACUGGGGCGGUCUCCUCCCAAAGAGUAACGGAGGAGCACGAAGGUGGGCUAAACACGGUUGGACAUCGUGUGGUUAGUGCAAUGGCAUAAGCCCGCUUGACUGCGAGAAUGACAAUUCGAGCAGGUGCGAAAGCAGGUCAUAGUGAUCCGGUGGUUCUGAAUGGAAGGGCCAUCGCUCAACGGAUAAAAGGUACUCCGGGGAUAACAGGCUGAUACCGCCCAAGAGUUCAUAUCGACGGCGGUGUUUGGCACCUCGAUGUCGGCUCAUCACAUCCUGGGGCUGAAGUCGGUCCCAAGGGUAUGGCUGUUCGCCAUUUAAAGUGGUACGCGAGCUGGGUUUAGAACGUCGUGAGACAGUUCGGUCCCUAUCUGCCGUGGGCGUUGGAAAAUUGAAAGGGGCUGCUCCUAGUACGAGAGGACCGGAGUGGACGAACCUCUGGUGUUCGGGUUGUCAUGCCAAUGGCAUUGCCCGGUAGCUAAGUUCGGAAUCGAUAACCGCUGAAAGCAUCUAAGCGGGAAGCGAGCCUUGAGAUGAGUUUUCCCUG